GAGCGCUGUAGCAAUACAGAGCGGCGCACGGGUGAGUAACACGUGGGAACGUGCCCUUUGGUUCGGAAUAACUCAGGGAAACUUGAGCUAAUACCGGAUAAGCCCUAACGGGGAAAGAUUUAUCGCCAUUGGAGCGGCCCGCGUCCGAUUAGCUUGUUGGUGAGGUAACGGCUCACCAAGGCGACGAUCGGUAGCUGGUCUGAGAGGACGACCAGCCACACUGGGACUGAGACACGGCCCAGACUCCUACGGGAGGCAGCAGUGGGGAAUCUUGGACAAUGGGGGAAACCCUGAUCCAGCCAUGCCGCGUGAGUGAUGAAGGCCCUAGGGUUGUAAAACUCUUUCGGCGGGGACGAUAAUGACGGUACCCGCAGAAGAAGCUCCGGCUAACUUCGUG
rnacentral:rRNA from 1 species